AGGUAGAAAAGGAUGGAUGGGAGGGAAGGGUUUUUUUUUGUUUGUUUGUUUGCUUCUAGUUUCUCACUGCUUUAGUCUGUUAUCAAUAGGCAAUACAUUAUACUAAUCUCCCUUAUGCUGAGUCUGUUUUGCCUGAUGAUAUUUGGUGAGCAAU